rnacentral:rRNA from 1 species
GACGAACCGUGCGAACGUUGUUCGGAAUCACUGGGCUUUAAAGGGCGCGUAGGCGGGUUUUUCAAGUCUGUGGUGAAAGCCUCCAGCUAACUUGGAGAAGUGCCGUGGAUACUGGAGACCUCGAGGAGGGUAGGGGCAUCUGGAACAGCCGGUGGAGCGGUGAAAUGCGUAGAUAUCUGGAGGAAUACCGGUGGCGAAGGCGGCAUCCUGGACCGACAUUGACGCUGAUGAGCGAAAGCUAGGGGAGCAAACGGGG